rnacentral:lncRNA from 12 species
CCGGACCCGCUACAAGCGCUCACUCAGAAUCCAAGCAAGUGAGGAGCAGCUGUUGUGCCACAUAAUUAAAGGCUGCGGUGCCGCCGAAUUGCAGGGCUGAGUCCCUUCCUCUCGGGCACGGGUUACACUCCCAGGACGACACCGAGGGGACCUCGGCCGCCCUCUGUGUCCCUUCCUCCCGCUCCCUCUUUGCUGCUCCGCUCCGCAUCCCUCCCGCAUCGCUCCCGCUCCUCUCCGCAUCCCUCCCGCAUCGCUCCCUCUCGUUCUCUCGGUCUCUCGCUCGGUGCCGCCCGCACCUGGGGGGACAGGUGCGUCUGGGGGGGGGCUGAGUGUGCGUGGGAUGGCACACGUGUCCUUAGCGUGUCCGUGUGUCACUGCACGUGUCCGUGUGUCACUGCACGUGUCCCUUCUGUCACUGCACCUCUGUGUGUCACUGCAGGUCCCCAACAUGUCCAUGUGUCACUGCAGGUGUAGGUGUGUCACUGCACGUGUCUGUGUGUCACUGCAGGUGUCCUUAGCGUGUCCGUGUGUCACUACACGUGUCCGUGUGUCACUGCACGUGUCCAUAGCAUGUCCGUGUGCCCAUACAUGUCCCUAGCAUGUCAUUGGUGUGUCCAUGUCACUGCACACUUGUCCCCAGCGUGUCUGCACAAGACCCCCGUGAGUGCCCACACCUGUGUGUGUGUCCCUGUGUCCGUGUGUCCGUGUGUCCCCUGUGCCGCCAUCCCCCGCCCAUGUCCAUGUCCCUGUGUCCCUGUCCCUGGUGCCACUGUCCCCCACCCGUGUCCCUGUCCCCGUGUGUCCUGGUGCCACUGCCCCCCACCCGUGUCCCUGUCCCCUGUGCGUGUCCGUGUGUCCCCUGUGCCGCCAUCCCCCGCCCAUGUCCAUGUCCCUGUGUCGCUGUCCCCUGUGCCACUGUCCCCUGUGUCACUGUCCCCCGCCCGUGUUCACGUCCCCGUGUGUCCCCUGGGGGGGGGGGGGGGGGGGGGGGGGGGGGGGGGGGGGGGGGGGGGGGGGGGGGGGGGGGGGGGGGGGGGGGGGGGGGGGGGGGGGGGGGGGGGGGGGGGGGGGGUGUCCCCCGUGUGGCGCGUUGGGCCGUGCCGGGCUGUGCCGUGCCGUGCCGGGCUGUGCCGUGCCGGCGAGCAGCGCGCAGAGAGGCUCUGCAUUGACGUCACAAUGACACGGUGA